rnacentral:lncRNA from 1 species
AUUGCUAAUGUUUGGGCUGCAGAAACCUGGGGUUGCCCGCGGGAGAAGGGGCGGUGGUCCCAGGCUGCAGGCAGGGGGCGCCAGAGGAUGCCCAGGGGCCCGGCAGGCAGCUGGCAAGGCGGGCAAGCGGGCGGCAUCUCUCGGCCCGGGCGCCCCUCCCCCGCGGGCAACAAACCCGCCGCAUGCUCUGCAUUGGCCGUGGCCGCAGAGGACCACCCGUGGCUGUGCCCUCGGACCGAGCCGACUGCGGGAGUGGCCACCAACUUCACAGCCUACCACCCCCGAAAUCAUGCCUGCCCCUGGGGCUGCAGGAGGGUGAGCCUGGUGCCCGGCUCCAUGCCCAGUGGUGGGAGGAGAGGCUGAGUGAUCUGGCCAGAGAUGAACACGGGAGUCAGGGAUGCGGGUCUAGCGGAGAUCCUGGCCAGAGGGAGGGGGCUUGGGGAAGACAAGGGGGACACGGCCCAUAUUCCAGGCUGGGGGGAGGGGACUUGCAGCAGAGAUUGGCGAGGGAAGGCUGUACUCUGGGGCAGAUAUGGGGGGAGGGGGCGCUUGGGGCAGAAAUAGAGGGGGCACAUGGUCGGGGUACAGGCGCUGAGGAGGGCAGAAACAGACGGAUAGAGAUAGGAGACUCCGGCAGAGACGAAGUGCCGGAGAGGACCAAGGGUCCGGCACCCAGACAAGGAGGCGAGACACAGUUGAGCUGCAGGUUGGCGAGAGGGGCUCUCUAUUCAAGGGGAGGGGGCACUGCUGGAUCCGGACUGAGACUGGGAAAGACUGGAGACAGCGACUGGGGACGGUCUAGGACAGGAUUCUAAAGAUGGGGGACUUUAACACAGACGGCUUUCCUGAUGUCCCCAGGAGUCUGGGACGGGCCCUGACAUUGGCUCAGGGGGAAGGCCUGCCAAUGCACACUCAGGAGUGUACAUACACACGGACCCAGAGACCCAGAUUAGAAGACUUUCGAGAAGGGUGGACACUGAGGCCUCCCAGAACAGCUCAGCAGGAGGCCCAGCACCAAGAUCUGCUCCAAAAACAUGGAAGGAAGGAAGGAAGGAAGGAAAAGAGAAGACAGUACCAGCAUUGAUGAAAAUUGAAAUCUGGGCCACUCUGACUCUGUUGAUGGAAGGGAAAAUUAGAACAACUUUUCUGGAAAACCACUGAGCGGUGGUGUCAAGAGCUUUAAAACAGACAGACCCUCUGGUCCCAUUCAUCUACUUUUAGGAACUCAAUCCAAGAAAUAACCAAAGACGCCAAAAAAGACCCAUGUACAAGGAUGCUUAUUACUGUUAUUUAUAACUGUGAAAAAUCCCAACCAACAUAAAUGUCUAGCAAUGGAGGGCUGGUUAAAUAAAUUAUGAUACAUCCAUAUAUAAGAAUGUUAUGUAAACAUUAAAUGUCAUGUUCUUGAAGAAUUUUUAAUAACCUGGGAAAUACCAUUUUAUAAGUAAAGCACAACAGAAAACAAAACCGUCCAUCUAGGAUGGUCUUGAUUGUAUAAAGAAAACAUUUAAUCAAUUCAUGUAAAGAAAGUCUGGAAGGAAAUAAAUGAGAGUUAAUCUGAGAAGAUUAUGGGUGAUUUUUUUGUUUGUUUCAGCAUACUUCUUUAUUUCUUACAAAUCUACAAUUUUUCAGGAAAAUUUAUUAGAAAUACAUGCAACCUGGGAGCUGGGCAUGGGAGAAUCAAAGUUUGAGACCAGCCUGGGCAACUUAGUGAGACCCUGUCUCAAAAUAAAAAAUAAAAAGGGAUGGAGAU